rnacentral:rRNA from 1 species
UGGGGGUAAAGAGAUCGUAAGGCGGUUGUCGAGUUUGCCGAGAAAGUCCGGGGCUUAACUCCGGAUUGCGGUGGGUACGGGCAGACUUGAGUGAUGUAGGGGAGACUGGAAUUCCUGGUGUAGCGGUGAAAUGCGCAGAUAUCAGGAGGAACACCGAUGGCGAAGGCAGGUCUCUGGGCAUUAACUGACGCUGAGGAGCGAAAGCAUGGGGAGCGAACAGGAUUAGAUACCCUGGUAGUCCAUGCCGUAAACGUUGGGCACUAGGUGUGGGGGACAUUCCACGUUUUCCGCGCCGUAGCUAACGCAUUAAGUGCCCCGCCUGGGGAGUACGGCCGCAAGGCUAAAACUCAAAGGAAUUGACGGGGGCCCGCACAAGCGGCGGAGCAUGCGGAUUAAUUCGAUGCAACGCGAAGAACCUUACCAAGGCUUGACAUGAACCGGAACGGCGCAGAGAUGUGUCGGCCACUUGUGGCCGGUUUACAGGUGGUGCAUGGUUGUCGUCAGCUCGUGUCGUGAGAUGUUGGGUUAAGUCCCGCAACGAGCGCAACCCUCGUUCCAUGUUGCCAGCGGGUUAUGCCGGGGACUCAUGGGAGACUGCCGGGGUCAACUCGGAGGAAGGUGGGGACGACGUCAAAUCAUCAUGCCCCUUAUGUCUUGGGCUUCACGCAUGCUACAAUGGCCGGUACAAAGGGUUGCGAUGCUGUGAGGUGGAGCUAAUCCCAAAAAGCCGGUCUCAGUUCGGAUUGAGGUCUGCAACUCGACCUCAUGAAGUCGGAGUCGCUAGUAAUCGCA